rnacentral:lncRNA from 1 species
UGUUGUUUUAUUUUUAAAUAUGUCAUAAAAUUUCCAGAAAAAAAACUUUCUCAUUUUCAGAUGCAGCUUCUGCAUUUCCACAUCAAGACACCAACAGUCAGUGCCUUGAUCCAACAUGUUCUGUUCAACGACAGCUUGCAAGAUGGGAUCUUAUCUCACACACAGUUAUAUGAGUUAUUUAAGCAGAUUGACAAAUAGACAUGCUUCUGUAUUAAUGAGUGCUGCUGGGUCAAAUAUUUAUCAUGGGCCGUGCUUAGAAAUACAUGACAAUUGUCUUCCAGCCUUCCUGAUGCCAUGAAAGGAACACUAAAAUCUUUUGAUGUCUGAGUGCCACAGGUGAUAACUGCAUACCUACCUCAGAGAUUCGAGGGGAAAGGAAUUGCAGUCAUAGGGUGCAGCUAGUAGGUGGCAGUGGCCAUCUGAUCAGUGCUAUCAGCUCAGGGAUGCUAACAGUCUGCUUGUUUUCUCCUUCUAGAGCCCUCUGCAUCAGCGUAGUCCCACUGUGAGCCCUGAGGCUCACAAAAGGUGUAUGGUAGAAGCACAGUGUCUUUAACUUCAGACAGCCUUGGCACUGCACAGGAAACUUUGCCUUACGCUGUGCAGAGCCCAAUUCCUGACUUAGAAAGGGAUGAGCAGGUAGCACGGAUCAGCUCUGCAGACUGGUGCCUGCCAAUGGAGACAGGUUUGUGGCUUUUUUUAGCAUCUGCCAUCCAGCACAAGGAAGAGAGGAAUCUGAAAGUCAGCAUUCCUGCAGAUAGGUAAAUUGAAGGGGAAUGGAUUCUAAUCUAAUUGUAAAUGCUCUGUUUUUUAAAGCACUUCUUGUCAAUAAAUCCUUCAUUUAACAGACA